UACGUAGGGUGCAAGCGUUAAUCGGAAUUACUGGGCGUAAAGCGUGCGCAGGCGGUUUGGUAAGACAGAUGUGAAAUCCCCGGGCUUAACCUGGGAAUUGCAUUUGUGACUGCCCGGCUAGAGUGUGUCAGAGGGGGGUAGAAUUCCACGCGUAGCAGUGAAUGCGUAGAUAUGUGGAGGAAUACCGAUGGCGAAGGCAGCCCCCUGGGAUAACACUGACGCUCAGGCACGAAAGCGUGGGGAGCAAACAGGG
rnacentral:rRNA from 1 species